rnacentral:rRNA from 1 species
GUCAUACGCUCGUCUCAAAGAUUAAGCCAUGCAUGUGUAAGUAUAAAUAAUUAAGUUUGGAACUGCGAAUGGCUCAUUAUAUCAGUUAUAGUUUAUUUGGUGAAGUGUACUACUUGGAUAACCGUAGUAAUUCUAGGGCUAAUACAUGAGUAAAGUCCCGUAGGUUGUGUUUAUUAGAAUGAAAACCAUAUGCUUCGGCAUGAUAGUGAGUAAUAGUAACCUAUCGUAUCGCAUGCUUAAGUAGCGAUGAGUCUUUCAAGUUUCUGCCCUAUCAGCUUUCGAUGGUAGUAUAUGGGCCUACCAUGGCAGUAACGGGUAACGAA